rnacentral:rRNA from 1 species
GAUGAACGCUAGCUACAGGCUUAACACAUGCAAGUCGCGGGGCAGCAUGGGGGUUGCUUGCAACCCCUGAUGGCGACCGGCGCACGGGUGAGUAACGCGUAUCCAACCUGCCCUUCACCACGGGAUAACCCGGCGAAAGUCGGACUAAUACCGUAUGUUGUCCAUUGACGGCAUCCGAUUUGGACGAAAGGCUUGGCGGUGGAAGGAUGGGGAUGCGUCCGAUUAGCUUGACGGCGGGGUAACGGCCCACCGUGGCUACGGUCGGUAGGGGUUCUGAGAGGAAGGUCCCCCACACUGGAGCUGAGACACGGUCCAGACUCCUACGGGAGGCAGCAGUGAGGAAUAUUGGUCAAUGGGCGUAAGCCUGAACCAGCCAAGUAGCGUGCAGGAUGACGGCCCUAUGGGUUGUAAACUGCUUUUAUGCGGGGAUAAAGUGGCCCACGUGUGGGCUUUUGCAGGUACCGCAUGAAUAAGGACCGGCUAAUUCCGUG